rnacentral:rRNA from 1 species
GACGAACGCUGGCGGCGUGCCUAAUACAUGCAAGUCGAACGCUGAAGAGAGGAGCUUGCUCUUCUUGGAUGAGUUGCGAACGGGUGAGUAACGCGUAGGUAACCUGCCUUGUAGCGGGGGAUAACUAUUGGAAACGAUAGCUAAUACCGCAUAACAAUGGAUGACACAUGUCAUUUAUUUGAAAGGGGCAAUUGCUCCACUACAAGAUGGACCUGCGUUGUAUUAGCUAGUAGGUGAGGUAAUGGCUCACCUAGGCGACGAUACAUAGCCGACCUGAGAGGGUGAUCGGCCACACUGGGACUGAGACACGGCCCAGACUCCUACGGGAGGGAGCAGUAGGGAAUCUUCGGCAAUGGGGGCAACCCUGACCGAGCAACGCCGCGUGAGUGAAGAAGGGUGUCGGAUCGUAAAGCUCUGUUGUAAGUCAAGAACGGGUGUGAGAGUGGAAAGUUCACACUGUGACGGUAGCUUAACAGAAAGGGACGGCUAACUACGUG